AGAAGUUUAGGUUAAAUAAACCAAGAGCCUUCAAAGCCCUUAAUAAGAGCAGCCACCCUCCUAACUUCUG
rnacentral:tRNA from 1 species